rnacentral:rRNA from 1 species
UCCUACGGGAGGCAGCAGUGGGGAAUUUUGGACAAUGGGCGCAAGCCUGAUCCAGCCAUGCCGCGUGUCCGAAGAAGGCCUUCGGGUUGUAAAGGACUUUUGUCAGGGAGGAAAUCCUUAGCGCUAAUACCGUUGAGGGAUGACAGUACCUGAAGAAUAAGCACCGGCUAACUACGUGCCAGCAGCCGCGGUAAUACGUAGGGUGCAAGCGUUAAUCGGAAUUACUGGGCGUAAAGCGUGCGCAGGCGGUUAGAUAAGCCAGAUGUGAAAUCCCCGAGCUCAACUUGGGAACUGCGUUUGGAACUGUUUAACUAGAGUGCGUCAGAGGGGGGUGGAAUUCCGCGUGUAGCAGUGAAAUGCGUAGAGAUGCGGAGGAACACCGAUGGCGAAGGCAGCCCCCUGGGAUGGCACUGACGCUCAUGCACGAAAGCGUGGGGAGCAAACAGGAUUAGAUACCCUGGUAGUCCACGCCCUAAACGAUGUCAACUAGCUGUUGGGGGUUAGAAUCCUUGGUAGCGCAGCUAACGCGUGAAGUUGACCGCCUGGGGAGUACGGCCGCAAGGUUAAAACUCAAAUGAAUUGACGGA